GAUGAAGAACGCAGCGAAAUGCGAUAAGUAAUGUGAAUUGCAGAAUUCAGUGAAUCAUCGAAUCUUUGAACGCACAUUGCGCCCCCUGGCAUUCCGGGGGGCAUGCCUGUCCGAGCGUCAUUUCUGCCCUCCAGCCCGGCUGGGUGUUGGGCGCUGUCCCCCCGGGGACACGCCCCAAAGGCAGUGGCGGCGCCGCGUCGGGUCCUCGAGCGUAUGGGGCUUUGUCACCCGCUCGGGACGGACUCGUCGGCGCUGGUCUUCCUCCAGGCGACCCUUCGGGGCUCGUCUUCCUUCGGUUGACCUCGGAUCAGGUAGGGUUACCCGCUGAACUUAAGCAUAUCAAUAAGCGGAGGA
rnacentral:misc_RNA from 1 species